rnacentral:rRNA from 1 species
UACGAAGGGUGCAAGCGUUACUCGGAAUUACUGGGCGUAAAGCGUGCGUAGGUGGUUUGUUAAGUCUGUUGUGAAAGCCCCGGGCUCAACCUGGGAAUGGCAAUGGAUACUGGCAGGCUAGAGUGCGGUAGAGGGUAGUGGAAUUCCCGGUGUAGCGGUGAAAUGCGUAGAGAUGUGGAGGAACACCAAUGGCGAAGGCAGCCUUCUGGGCCAACACUGACGCUCAUGCACGAAAGCGUGGGGAGCAAACAGG